UAAAACGUUCGUAGUUGAAUUUGUGUCAAGCACGGGUUGUACACCUUUACUGGGUAAGUACUUUACCUUGAUGCUUUGACGUAUUACUGUAGUGGAUAUAAUUAUUAUUAAUAAUAAAGUAUAGUUUCGGCUAGAAAAAUUAAUUUUAAUUUAUCUGCGUCUUAAAUCUAUUAUAGUGCUCUUAAUCGAGUGCUAUUAUAGAACAGUACAAUUACUUUGAACAAAUUAGAGUGCUUAAAGCAGGCCAAUUGUGCCUAAAUAUUCUGUGCAUGGAAUAAUGGAAUAGGACGUCUGUUCUAUUUUCAAUUGGUUUUUAGAUCAAGACGUAAUGAUUAAUAGAAGCAGUUGGGGGCAUUAGUAUUACGGCGCGAGAGGUGAAAUUCGUGGACCGUCGUAAGACUAACAUAAGCGAAAGCAUUUGCCAAAGAUGUUUUCAUUAAUCAAGAACGAAAGUUAGAGGUUCGAAGGCGAUCAGAUACCGCCCUAGUUCUAACCAUAAACGAUGCCAGCUAGCAAUUGAAUGUAGCUACUCCUAUGGCUCUUUCAGGCGCUUUUCGGGAAACCAAAGCUUUUGGGCUCCGGGG
rnacentral:rRNA from 1 species